AUGACUAGCCGAGUCGAUUUAGCCAUAUCUUACAUUUGCAAGAUUCUUCUAAUCACUUCUAGAACCUGAGUAAUGUAUAUCUAUUAGGCGACGUUUUCUAUUGUUUUAGUUUUAUUGUCCAUGACAGCAACAUAUCUGUGCCAUGUAUAAUCAAUGUUUGAAUAUUGCUUUUACCAUAAAUAACUUAGUUUCCGAAAGCAUAGUCCCGACUUCAAAAACCUCACCGAAAGAAUGCACUGAGCUUAGAAUUUUCUAACCACAAACAAUCGAUGUUUUUGCUGCUGAUUUCCAUUUGCAUUUUCCGACGCUGGCUUCAUUAGCCAGCACCCAAGUAAAUCAAGUUUGCCUGCAAACGUAGCAGAAAAAUUUAAAUGAUAUGUGUGCACAUCUGAACCAAGUAUUUUUCUUUCACAUACGCAAGCACACUCACCUGAAAAAAGGGGUAAAAUAAAGCUGCCAACUCGGCAGUUGUUGUUGCACUGCAAUGCAUUUAAGUAAAAUGAAUUGCUUGCAAUUUAUUUUUGUUGCUUAUCAUAUAAAUUGCACUCGCUCGCCUGCAAGUCAUUAUUUGGCACAUUUGCGCUCAAUGAGUGCACAUUGUUUCUACAACGUCCUCCAACCGUAUCCCUCGUCCACAGUGUUAAAUAGGAGUGACGAACCGGAAGAUUCCAGAUACAACAACUGCUGACCCAGUGGGGUUUGGGUGGCCAAAAUAUACCUGAUCGGUUGGUCUUUUGCACUUGACUGCAUCCUUAACCUUUUGCAGGAGCUGAAUUCGAAGACACCUGAAAGUGCCACUUGAGCAUUUUCAGAUUCUUUAUUUACCACCACUUGGGCACUCCGCCCAACGCCCACCCAAAUAAAUUUCCGGUUUGUUUUCCACAUUUUUGAUUUACGUAUUGCUGUGUGGAGUGAAUCGAAAAUAUACAUCUUAACAUCUAAAAGUGCAUGUCGAUCUUUAUCAAAUAAAGUCAGUAAGGAAAGUGUUUUCACUAUAUUUUUUUUUUCAAAGAGCUAAGAGUACAUACACUGCAAAAUUUAAAUUGCAAGCAAUAAACACCAUUAAUAUAAUUUACAUUAUAAGUUAUAAUUAUUUCCAAGCAUUUGCUAACAUUUACAUGCAACAUUUUUAUAACAAUCGCUUGUUAGGUCAAAUUCCAAGAACCUUUGUUAUCAAUGAUGCUAAAAACCAUAUACACAAUUUCACAAGAAAUCUUGGCCCCUAAAUACAAAUUUUAAUCGCAUUGAAUGUCGACACAAAAAAAUGGAAACAAUAAAUCAGCACACCGAAAAAAAAGGAUUAAUUUGAAAUCAGAAAAAAAACCAUUCACAUGGACUCAAAAGUAUCAAUAAUUUAAAGGGUACCUUUGUGUGUGAAAAUUUGUGAAUUAAAAAUUGUAUCUCCAUUUAAUAUGAUAUUUGAAUGGUUUGUCUACAUCUCAGAUGCUUUUUUUUAAAUUCGCUUUCGUUUCAAGUGCAUGUUUCGAAAAUGGUAAAGUAAUCAUUGGGUUUCCCAAUCGUUUGGUAUAUAAGCAUGCCCUGCGGCUCCCAGCAGAUUCAUAGCAACAAUUUUAAUUGGUGACGAUGGACCUUAAGUGCUGCCUGCUUUUGCUAUCGCUUCUGUUUGCCGGGGCUUUGGGUCGCCCAGAGCCAGACGCGCCACGCCCAACUCUACCGCCCUGCUCGCCGUGGUGCGCCGGACAGCCCCCACCGCCCCCCGGAGCAGUGAACUAAUUUGUCUUGUCAUUCCGAUUGUAACACAAAGAAAUACCAUUUUAUAAUACCUCUAAAUAUCUAGCCAGCCGAACAAAUAAAGGUACUGAGCGACAAUCAAUCUUAA